rnacentral:lncRNA from 1 species
GCCUUCCUAGAGCAGUGAAGGCGGCUCCUCCUUCCCCUGGCAGAGACUGACUUUUCCAGAGGCGCUGCACACCCGGCCAGCAGCCAGCAGGGAUCUAUCUGCAUCCACACCAAGCCCCAGGAUGUGCAGAGAUUUCCUUUAGGUCCCAACCCACCACCAUGCGGUCCUGUCCAUGGAGACCUCGUCACCUGGGCCAACGUGUCCUGUGGCCCUUGCUUUUGGUUUUGCUGCUCUUCUUCCUCUUCACCCUGCCCUCCUUCAUUAAGGAGCCUAGCACAAAGCCUUCCAGGCAUCAAUAUACACAGAACAAUAUAAAGCGGGCUGAGGAGUCGCAGCAAAACUCUAUGUCCCCAGCUCCCACCAUGCAACAGAGGAGAAGCGUCCAUGAUGAGCCAGGGCAAGAGGAGGGUACCCUGGACACAGACCCUGGGCCCACAGCCCCCUUGGCUAGAGGGAACAGGACAGAGGCUGCCCGGACACCACAGCGGGAACAGGGUGCUGUGCCCAGCGCCACACUGGCAGCAGCACUGAAGGGACAGGGAGAAGAGAAAACCCAGGUGGACGUGCUGCCACCAAGAGGUCAGCACAAGGAGAUGGCCUCCGUCAGGACAAAGGCAACAGCAGUGCAGAGUCAGGACACGGUGACAAGAGGCAGGGGGGACCAGAAGGGGAAGCUGACAACUGCAAGGGCAGUGUUAAAAAAAACCCAGGGCAAAGCGUUGGCCACCACAGUAGUGACAACAAGGACAAGAAAGAAAGCCAUGACCACAGCCGCUGUCCCAGGCAAGGAGAAGGCAGCGCGGGCCAACCCUGCACCUUCCCCAAGGCCCACCACAGGGAGAAGCCAGAGACUGAAGGCCGCCAACUUCAGGUCUGAGCCCCGCUGGGAUUUUGAGGAAAAGUAUAGCUUUGAUGUGGGGGGUCUGCAGACGAGAUGCCCUGACUCAGUGAAGGUCAGAGCCUCCAAGUCACCAUGGCUCCAGAAUCUCUUUCUGCCCAACCUCACUCUCUUCCUGGACUCUGGACGCUUCAACCAGAGCGAGUGGGAGCGCCUGGAACACUUCGCCCCUCCCUUCGGCUUCAUGGAGCUCAAUCACUCCUGUGAGUCCUCACCCCGGGAGGCUGCAGCGCGCACCAGGCCGGGGCAGGGGGCGGCUGGCUUCCUCUCUCUGGUCCGCUCUUUCCUGGGGGCCGCCUGGCCUAGGAGAAAUGAUGGGUGGACGGACGCCUGUCCCUUGCAGGGCUCUGAAGGGAGCCCUGCACCACUCCUGUUCCAGUGGUGCAGAAGGUCGUGGCCCACUUCCCGCCGGUGCCCCAGCAGCAGCUGCUCCUGGCCGGCCUGCCCUGGGAGAGCUCGCAGUGCGUC